AGAGCAAGAUGAUGAAAUUGAGGA
rnacentral:snRNA from 1 species